rnacentral:rRNA from 1 species
ACUCCUACGGGAGGCAGCAGUAAGGAAUAUUGCUCAAUGGCCGAAAGGCUGAAGCAGCAACGCCGCGUGGAGGAUGAAAUACUUUAGUAUGUAAACUCCUGUAAGAGGGGAAAAAUAUACAGCUAUGCUGUGUUGAUUGUACCCUCAGAGUAAGCACCGGCUAACUACGUGCCAGCAGCCGCGGUAAUACGUAGGGUGCNAGAGUUGUCCGGAUUUACUGGGUGUAAAGGGUGCUCAGGUGGGUUUGUAAGUCAGAGGUGAAAUCCCAAAGCUUAACUUUGGAGCUGCCUUUGAUACUGCGAGCCUGGAGUUUGAGAGAGGGCAAUGGAAUAUCUGGUGUAGCAGUGAAAUGCGUAGAUAUCAGAUAGAACACCAAUGGCGAAGGCAGUUGCCUGGCUCAAAACUGACGCUAAAGCACGAAAGUGUGGGGAGCAAACAGGAUUAGAUACCCUGGUAGUC